ACUACCCGCUGAACUUAA
rnacentral:rRNA from 1 species